GGAAUAUUGGACAAUGGGCGAAAGCCUGAUCCAGCAAUUCCGCGUGUGUGAAGAAGGCCUUCGGGUUGUAAAGCACUUUAGUGAGGGAAGAAACAGCUUGGCCACACCAAGCCUUGACGGUACCUCAAGAAUAAGCACCGGCUAACUCUGUGCCAGCAGCCGCGGUAAUACAGAGGGUGCAAGCGUUAAUCGGAUUUACUGGGCGUAAAGGGUGCGUAGGUGGUUGUAUAAGUCGGAUGUGAAAGCCCGGGGCUUAACCUCGGAACUGCAUUCGAUACUGUAUGACUAGAGUUCGGUAGAGGGCGGCGGAAUUUCCGGUGUAGCGGUGAAAUGCGUAGAUAUCGGAAGGAACAUCAAUGGCGAAGGCAGCCGCCUGGGCCUGAACUGACACUGAGGCACGAAAGCGUGGGUAGCAAACA
rnacentral:rRNA from 1 species